UGCCAGCCGCCGCGGUAAUACGGAGGGAGCGAGCGUUAAUCGGAAUUACUGGGCGUAAAGCGCGCGUAGGCGGCUUUGUAAGUCGGAUGUGAAAGCCCUGGGCUCAACCUGGGAAUGGCAUUCGAUACUGCAUGGCUAGAGUAUGGUAGAGGGAAGUGGAAUUUCCGGUGUAGCGGUGAAAUGCGUAGAUAUCGGAAGGAACACCAGUGGCGAAGGCGAUUUCCUGGGCCGAUAUUGACGCUGAGGCGCGAAAGCGUGGGUAGCAAACAGGAUUAGAUA
rnacentral:rRNA from 1 species